AGCGAACGCUGGCGGCAGGCCUAACACAUGCAAGUCGAACGAACUCUUCGGAGUUAGUGGCGGACGGGUGAGUAACACGUGGGAACGUGCCUUUUGGUUCGGAAUAACUCAGGGAAACUUGUGCUAAUACCGAAUGUGCCCUUCGGGGGAAAGAUUUAUCGCCAUUAGAGCGGCCCGCGUCUGAUUAGCUAGUUGGUGAGGUAACGGCUCACCAAGGCGACGAUCAGUAGCUGGUAUGAGAGGAUGACCAGCCACACUGGGACUGAGACACGGCCCAGACUCCUACGGGAGGCAGGAGUGGGGAAUCUUGCGAAAUGGGCGAAAGCCUGACGCAGCCAUGCCGCGUGAAUGAUGAAGGUCUUAGGAUUGUAAAAUUCUUUCACCGGGGACGAUAAUGACGGUACCCGGAGAAGAAGCCCCGGCUAACUUCGUG
rnacentral:rRNA from 1 species